UACGUAGGGUGCAAGCGUUGUCCGGAAUUAUUGGGCGUAAAGAGCUCGUAGGCGGUUUGUUGCGUCGGCUGUGAAAUCCCGAGGCUCAACCUCGGGUCUGCAGUCGAUACGAGCAAACUAGAGUGUUGCAGGGGAGACUGGAAUUCCUGGUGUAGCGGUGAAAUGCGCAGAUAUCAGGAGGAACACCGGUGGCGAAGGCGGGUCUCUGGGGCAACAACUGACGCUGAGGAGCGAAAAGCGUGGGGGGAG
rnacentral:rRNA from 1 species